rnacentral:lncRNA from 1 species
UCCCUUUUUGUUAUCAGUAGAGGACUUUCAUUGUUAAAUGUUCAUUUAGUAAUGGAGUCAAAGUGGAAUCAGGAAGGCAAUUCUCAUGAGACAAAUGCAGUUAGGAUAUAUCAGCUAUCAAAGUGCAGAAAUCAAGUCUCCAUGAGAAAUAAACCUUUGCUGCUGGAUUCUUUCACUAUGAUGGCAGAAAAUCAAGACUUGGAGGAGACUGUCAUAUAAAGUUUCUCUAACAUUCAUUACAUUUAUCUAAGGACUCUAUCAGAUACUUUCAGUGUGGUCUCUCCUAAGUUCAUUGAAAUUCAAAAUAAUUAAUUGAAAUAAAGCCCUGUAUUUGUGCAUGCGUUCUGAGCAAUUAAGUGGAGUGAAACACAUGUAUUGCUAAUCUUGCAUGCUGUGAUUAAGAUAGAAAUGAAGACGUCCAUCAAACGAGAUUACUUCUUCAUCAACAAGGCUCAGAAAUAUUUCUACAGCUGUUUAGAUCGUUUUAAUUGUAUCAGAGCCUCUCACAUCAUGGUUUAAGUGAGGCACUAUUUCCCCCCAUUAAA